UACAGGGGGGGGCAAGCGUUGUUCGGAAUUACUGGGCGUAAAGGGCCAGUAGGCGCCAACUAAGUCCGACGUGAAAUCCCCAGGCUUAACCUGGGAACUGCGUCGGAUACUGGAUGGCUUGAAUUCGGGAGAGGGAUGCAGAAUUCCAGGUGUAGCGGUGAAAUGCGUAGAUAUCUGGAGGACUCGACCGGUGGCGAAGGCGGCAUCCCUGGACCGAGAUUGACGCUGAACGGCGAAAGGCUAGGGGAGCAAAGCGGG
rnacentral:rRNA from 1 species